rnacentral:lncRNA from 1 species
AGGCUUGCGGUAAGGAGCCUGCAGGAUGCACCUCGGUAGGUAGCGGGGAGUGGUGCCUUAGGCUCCCGGUGUGUUUCGGUCUUCAUAGUCUUGCUUCAAACAGGCAUGAGUGGGUGGAGGGGUGAGGGAUGUCUAUGGGAUACGUUAGGCGUGAUACGAUGGACGGAUAGUGUUGAAAGCGUUUCUCUCACCCCAGGGAAGUGACCAGUCUCGCUUACAUUCCCCAGCUUUUAUCUGUACUUUAGUGGCCCAA